GAUGAAGAACGUAGCGAAAUGCGAUAAGUAGUGUGAAUUGCAGAAUUCAGUGAAUCAUCGAAUCUUUGAACGCACAUUGCGGCCAUAGGUAUUCCUUUGGCCAUGCCUGUUCGAGCGUCAUUUACACCCUCAAGCCUAGCUUGGUGUUGGGCGUCUGUCCCGCCGUUCUCGCGCGCGGACUCGCCUCAAAGUCAUUGGCGGCGGUCGUGCCGGCCCCCUCGCGCAGCACAUUUGCGCUUCUCGGAGGCCCGGCGGAUCCGCGCUCCAGCAAGACCUUUCACGACUUGACCUCGGAUCAGGUAGGGAUACCCGCUGAACUUAAGCAUAUCAAUAAGCGGAAGA
rnacentral:misc_RNA from 1 species